rnacentral:piRNA from 1 species
AGACUCCUUGCUGAUGGAACGGAUCCGGC